UUCGAUGUUGCUUGGUUCCAUUGUCCAUCCCCCCAAAUUGCAAAUUUCUGAAGACUGUAGCCUCUGAUCCUCUGAGUGUUUACCAUUUCGAGACCAAGAACGCAAUUACCUGAAUGAAGGACUUGUUUCCAGAUGUUGACCGGAUAUUUUCUAUCUUUGCCUUCCGUUCCUGAUUUCUUUUCGAUUUUCAGUCAAUUUUUCAAUUGAUCCGCCAAUAACUGCACCUCCUAGCCUUCCUGGGGAUUUCUGUUAUCCAGAACCGAUGGGACGUCAUCCUGGAUUUAUUCCCGAUUCAUUCCUGAUUCUUUUGCGACUUGUUUCCGAUUUUUUAAAAUAUGUUUGAAUUUUACCGCUGCUGGUCACGUCUGCGCAUUUGCCGAUACAGCUAGCGCUGAGUGGCGGAAUUUUCGUGAACGACAAAAACUAGUGCUAUCUGAUGGACUUUUCGAAAACUGAUUUCAGCGCAAGUCCACAUGGGGUAAGUUACCUACGAACAAUUCAUCGUCAUCGGUCGGUCCGUGGAUAUCGGUCGGCGAAUCCGGUUAGGGUAUAUUUCCUACGAACAAUUCAUCGUCAUCGGUCGGUCCAUGGAUAUCGGUCGGCAAAUCCGCAUAGGGUAUAUUUCCUACGAACAAUUCAUCGUCAUCGGUCGGUAUCAGAUCUGAUGACUUACUGAUCAAAAACUCGUGACACACCUUUGAUGUUCCAUCGGAGCAUGUUCUUUAAAUCGAAGUUGAACACAACCCCGACGUUGACGAAUACUAAUGAUGACAUGUCAUUGAAUUUACUCCUUUGUCCAGGUAAUUGCAUUCUUGGUCUCGACACGGAAAAAACCCAGAGGAUCAGAGGCUACAGUCUUCAGGUAUUUGCAAUUUUCGGGCCUGGACAAUAAAUCCAAGCAACUGCGAAGUUACGUGUCAGUCUUAUUUUAAUAUGGAUACAGCGUCUAAAUGAAAAAUGCAGAAAAAUCGUUGGGGUUCUCCGUUCGAUUUGCGAUGCUGCUCUUUGACAGAACUUCGCACGUGUUGUCCAUUUUGUCGCAUUUCUGAACGGAAAAAUGGAGAUCUCUCGACGAGUAUCAGGAAUUGCUCGGUCCAGUCGACACGCUCGUUUUCCUGAAGCCGUAAUAUAGACGUAGCAAUAUCAAGAUAUUCCGAUGGUUUCGGCUCGUGGCACAAUUGACUCGACGAAUUUAAGUCCAAUUUAUCCAACGGCCGGUCGAUUGAUGAGCUAAUUAUUCAUUAAUUAUUCGCUGUUGGGAGCACAAAAAUUAUAAGACAUAUCGAUUUUUUUUAGUCGUAGACGCACUGUGAUUCGUCGCAAUCCAUGCAUGGGUCGAAAUAUUCGAAUUUCUCGG